UCUCACUCUAGCGAGACUGCCGUUGACAAAACGGAGGAAGGCGGGGACGACGUCAAAUCAUCAUGCCCCUUAUGUCCCGGGCUACACACGUAAUACAAUGGCGGUCAACAGAGGGAAGCAAAGCCGCGAGGCAGAGCAAACCCCUAAAAGCCGUCUCAGUUCGGAUUGCAGGCUGCAACUCGCCUGCAUGAAGUUGGAAUUGCUAGUAAUCGUGGAUCAGCAUGCCACGGUGAAUACGUUCCCGGGCCUUGUACACACCGCCCGUCACACCAUGAGAGUUGGGAACACCCGAAGUCCGUAGUCUAACCGCAAGGAGGGCGCGGCCGAAGGUGGGCCUGAUAAUUGGGGUGAAGUCGUAACAAGGUAACCGUAAA
rnacentral:rRNA from 1 species